GAGAGCUGUAUGCCUUGAAAGGGGCUCGUGCAGUUCGAGAAGGGAUCCAUUCCCCGCCGCGGAUAGGGGCAACUUCGAC
rfam:Selaginella moellendorffii plastid, complete genome.